AAUAGCCGCAGUACACUAACUGUGCAAAGGUAGCAAAAUAAUUUGUCUUUUAAUUGAAGACUGGUAUGAAUGGUCUGACGAGGAAAUAUCUGUCUCAAAAUUUUAAUUUUAAAUUAACAUAUAAGUAAAAAGGCUUAUAUACAUCAGCAAGACGACAAGACCCUAUAAAACUUAACCCUUUAAUUUACAGAAAUUCUCAGAAAACAAAAUAUAGAAAGGUUUAAACUGGGGCGGUGUUUUAUAUAACCUAUAACUAUACAAUUCCCACCAUAUAUUAAUGAAUCAAUAAAUCUUACAUAAAACCUAAAAAAAAGUUACUUUAGGGAUAACAGCAUAAUACUCUUAGAGAGUUCAAAUCGACAAGAGUGAUUAUGACCUCGAUGUUGAAUUGGGAAAUCA
rnacentral:rRNA from 1 species